GCCCAUAAUAGCAGAAUGCAGCCAGGAGGAAAGUCACCACGGACCCUGGAGCCAGAGGAUCGGUGACUCGGGGCCAUUGCGCAGGCGCCGUAAGUAAGCCAGCCGCAGGUUGCAACUCAGGGGUGCUCGCUGAGUUCCGGUGCCUGUGUGGGCAAGGGCCCCAUGGCCCCGGAUUCUCUUUGCAUGAUGAGGUAGGCUUACUUUUCCCAACACACAGCUUGCCAUCCUUUUCGUGGUUUUCCCCUGCACCCACCUGGCACCUCCAGUUUGGUGCCAUUCCUCCUGGAAUGGAGUGUUUUCAGUUGGGUGCAGUGCCCACGGCCCUUGGCCCGGAGAGUGGGCCGCUUGCUCCAGAAGAAGACCCAAAGCACAGUGGGAGUCUAAAUACCAAAGACCACGUUGAGUGUCUUCGAGCGCGUUUGACGGCUGUAUCCACCCCUCGGGCGAGUACAGAUCAAGUCAGGACAGUUGGUAGGCAAGAAUGAGUGCUCAGACCAGCCCGGUGAGCUCUGCAGGGUGGACUCGGCACCCCUCCCCUCCCCCAGGCUCCCUCUCCUCUCUGCUCUGCCCCACGCUUGCUUGUACCACCCUGCACAGAGUCAGCGGCUGGUGCAGCUCUGGGGACCCAUGGAGCUCACAGUCCUCAUGGGUCCUUGAGGAUGCAAAGACCCCCCCAAAUGCCAGGGCUGAGUGAGACCCUUGAGUUUAUUCCCCUCCUCUUCCGUCCCUCUACUCGCAUCCUCAUACACGUAAGAAAACUGACAUCCAGGGCGGUAGAAUGCUUGGCUGUGACUGUUUUUCCUAAGGGUGGUCUUAAGCUUUGGGGUCUAGACCACCUCUGGCAAAUAAGCAGUUUCCCUCGUGGUAAUGACAGGGGUGACCCAGCACCCCAGGGCUACAGGAACGCCAAGCGGGACUCAAUACCUCAUUUCUCAGGGGCUUGCUGGGGGUGACGCUGCUGCCCUGCUCCAGAGCUUCUAGAAGCCAGCGCCUUCGCUCUGCAGUGCCAGCUCAUAGUAGGUGCUCAGCUAACGCCUGGAUCAAAGCUGGGCUCAGACACCAGCGCAAAGUAAGUAUUCGACCUGGGAGUGUAUUGAAUCAGGUCUUUAUUGCCGGGAGGAAGCACACAGGAGGCACUGGGAGGACAUUUGUGGAAUGAAUAAAUAAAAGCAUGCUCUUUGAGGGAAUAAGGGAGCAGAGAAACCAAGAAGAACCUGGGGGAGACGGACAUAAAUCUCCAGCAAGCACUGCCAAGCUUCUGCAGUCAAGGUUGCUGAAAAGACCCUGCGGAGACAGAGGGGCCAUUUGUCACUGCGGGGACGGGCUUGAGGGCCAGGAAGCAAGGGCAGGAUGGAACCUUGUUCAUCACUUCCGCAUUAUCCCGGCGGCAAUGGAGGGGAGCCCAUGGCCACGCCGCCUGCCUGGCGGAAUGAGUGCCGGGCUAGGGGUGGGGAAGGACCCCGAGGAAGGGCAGGCUGGGCUGGAGAAGGAGGCAGCCAUCUCAGAGCCCACCUCAUGCCCUUGGUGCUGCAGUUGUUGUUUUCAUACCUAUGAGUCCCUAUCCAGGGCUCCGCUCCAGUGCCACUUCCUACAGGAAGCCCUCCCUGAUCCACCCCUCCACACAGAACCUCAAUCUGCAGUCAGAUGUCAGUCCUCUGAUCCUUUGAUCAAUAGGUAUCUCCUGGCCCAGCCUGCACGCUGCAUGGGGACAGGGGAUGUUUCUGGUGUGGUGGCUGUGAGGCCCCUGUGCUUGGUUCGGCCCGGGGAAGGCACUGCAUGAUGCUGGUUAGCCCUGUCUUGCCUUUGCAGGCACUGGACCCGGCACUCGACAGGUGCCCAGUGCGUGGACAUCCCAUGGGCGGAGCCUUGGGUUGACCCCAACCAGGAGCCAAGGGCUGGGCCAGAGGUGGCUGCAAGGACCGCUUCUGCCUAGAGAGAUGUGACUGUGAGCUUGGGAUCCUGGCCCAACCCUGGAGGCAUUCCUUGGAUCUGUGGCCAGCUUGCUUUCUCUGAACCCAUCUUGGAGUCUCAGCCCUUUCCUCUCCUGAUCCCAUCUCCUGCUUCACACGACUGCACCAUGGUCCCUGGUGGUGAUCGAGGCAGAGGGCACCCACGCCCCAGGAGACAGAUGCACAGCGCCCUCCCCGCCUCACCCAGGAAGCUGGGGGAGGCCCCUGCACCCCCUACCGUUUGAAGCACCCGGACUUGAGUACCGGGGGACCAUCCCGCGGCGGGAAGGACCGGCCUUCACGUGGACCGUGGGGAGGACCGAGGACCGUAUGGGCUCAUGGAGAUGCCACGGACCAUGCCCUGCCCCACCAGACAGCGGGGCUGGGAGGUGAAAAUGCUGGUUAGAAGGACGUAAGAAUUCCUGCUCUUCUUUCUGAAGCACUUUGAAUCUUGUCAGACCAUUUGAGUAAUAAA